UUUUGAUCUUCAUUUGCUUGAUCAACAAGUGUUCUUAUCUUCACAAAUCUCCACCUAAGAACAUGUUGAUCAACCCAAACAACUUGCACAUACUUGAGAGAGAGAGUUUCUUCUUCUAGCUUCUUGGAUUCCAGUCUCGGCUUCUGAGUAUCACUACUCAUCCUUGAUCCUUAGCAGCUUUAAAGACCAUAAACCUGCUUGAUCCUUGCAGCAUUCAACAUCUUGUUCAAUGCACAUCAGCUGUGAAAAUUCACCUUGCCGAACCUGAGCCAUCAGAACAUCUUCAUGUCACUUGAGUUGUGAAAACCAGCUCUAACACAAAUCUGUAUUAAGCUCAACUCAUCAGUGACUUUUCCUAGCACCUGCAGCACCUGAAUAUCUGAUAUAAAGCUCAAUAAACUCCAGUACCAAGCUUAGAAAACGUCCAGCUUGUUACUCCAACAGAAAACUCCAUAAGCUUUAUCACUUAUGACUUCUCAAAUCACACAAUAACUUCCAUGGCUUCUGUCCAAACCAUAAGUAUACUUCAGUGACUGAGAAAAUACCAACACCACCUCUGCAAAGCUUUGAUUCAUUUGCUAGCUUCUAGGAUUUUCUCAUGCGCAUUGAGAUCAAAACCCUUUGAAUUCAUUUAAAUCAAAUGCAGAAAACCAGAAUCAUCUUAGCUUCUAGCUUGAAGCUUCUUGAUUCAACUUGCAGUCAAUCUCACCAAUAGCUUACACUAUCUGAGAUUCACAUCUUCAACCUGUUUAACCAAGCAAUCCCAGAACAGAACCCUGCUCCACCAUCUUGUUAAAACAGAACACACUAACAGCUUGAAAAAACCCACUACUAGCAACCUUGCAUAUGUCUCUUAUCAACAACUUCUUGUGACAUCCCUGAGACACGUCCAUACAAUAGCUUACAUAUCAAUUCUAAAACCCUUGAUGUUUCUUUCAAGUUGUAAAGAACAACCUGCAAUACUUCUUCUUGUAUGCAGCCUCCACCAAAACAAAUCCGGUUCUUGCAUUAUUCAGUUUGCAGUCAUUAACCGACAUUCUUCUUCCUGAAUAUCAUUAACUUUACUUGUCUGCAACUGACUUCCCAUGAGUAGACACUUAUGUAGACUCCUCAUGAUGCAACUAAGACAACUUCACGCUCCUGAGUUGUUGUCUUUCUAAUGCAGCUUGAUCUCUGCAUUCUUCAUCCUUUCAGGACUUCUUUUUCAGGUUCUGACACUUCACUUGAGAUGAAUUAUCCAUCAGACUUGAUACACGACACCUUCACAUUCUUGAAGUGAGCAUCCUUGACACAUAACCAUGUAUCAUCUGCACUUGUCUACUUCAGUUUCUUCUUUAUAGAACUCACUGAAAAAAAAAAAACUACUUCAAUUGCUUCAUCUCACAACACAGCUUUGUGUCUUUUCUCUGAAAAACUUUCAGAAACCUGCAACCCACUUGUAGAAACCUGCAACUCUGUUUCUCUAAGCCUGCAACUCGUUUCUGAUUAUCCUGAUCAACACCCAGCUUCAAAUCAAAUCUGAAAACAACCUGUUACCAUCAGAUUAUAGCCUUUCUUGAGCUGAAUACCAGUUGACACACCAUCAGUUCUUCACUUGUUUUCUUCUUUGCACAAAGAACUUCAAUGAAUCUAAUACAACAGCGAGAUGCUUAACCCUUUAACUCUUUUAUCUUCAGCUAAACACUUGAGAAAACCUCCAAAUAUAGCUCCACCAGGAAUAGAAAAAAUAUCAUUUAAGAUAUGCAUUGCUCUUCUUGUAGCAAUAAUGUUCCACCUGAAACUAUAACCACUUGGACAUACUCUGUCUCUAUCUCAGCUUCACAAUCAGAGUUAAAACCACUCUUUCAUGUAUCUUUGAUCCACAAACACAUUCUUAUGUAUCAGAUUGAGUCACAAUGACUUCUUGCUUGAGAAAGUGUGCCAAAACCUGUGACACAUCUUCUUCCUUCUUGCAGCCCAACUGAUCCAUUUGCAACCAGAAAACCCUCAAGAACUUUCUUUCUUCCAGCAGUACUGUCUCUUAAAGCAUUCUUCAUGUUGUGAUGAUGUUACAACUUAGGCUGAUACAUCAACAAACCAUGCUUCUAUAAAUCUUGUACUCUCUUGUCGCCAAAAAUACAACCAUACUUGUCUUGUACCGCUGUUGAUAAACAGGACACGCCGCCUAACUCCUCUAGCUAGGAAGACUUUCGAUACCAGAUUGUAUCAUGUUGCAUAAAAAAUGCAUUCAAAGACAAUCCUCAUGAGUCAUGAUGUCUCCAAUGCCUUCAGCUUCUAGACCACCAGAAUCUUCUUCAACCUCUGAAGAUCUGAUUCAAAUACAAGAUAACCUUCUGAGAAAACAAUGCUCCACCUGAGAUAGUACUCCUUAUUCACCAAGAUUCAAUCCAGCAGAAAACUCCAUGUGUUACACCAAACACAAAUUUUCUUAAGAAACAUGAAUCUUCGCUACUUCCAUCUUGUCAAGAGCUUACACUACUUGAAACAAGAACUCGAACAAUCCUCUGUAUACACUCAAGCUCACAAGAGCUCAACCUUCAUUGCAUCCCUCUGAAAAUAGCAAUGAAACUGAGUGUUACACCUUAUGUUCACCAUAACAUUUUCAGACCGCUACAAGAGCUUAAUCAUCAUUGCAUUCCCUCUAAAAAUAGCAAUCAUGUAGCUUCAUGUUCUCUGAUGAAACACCGCCUGUAGACUGUCAUAUUCACAAGAACUGAUAGCUAACACCCUGAGAUAAAACCUGCAGCAAGAAACCCCAUCCAAAACUCAAAAGCCACUGAAAUUUCCAUAAAUGAUUCUGUUUUGAUCAAACCGAAAACAUUGCUCCAUAACCUUCUGCAACUCCUUGUAGACAACCGAGAAUACCAUUACUGAUACUCAGAACAUCCAUAAAACACUCAUCAAGUCCAGGUUUUAGACGUCCUUGAACUUCUGAGUUUCCAGGCUGGAAAAAACUCAAACACCAAUUGUAGCUGACUUCCACAAACUGAUUUAACCAAAGAUUACCCAGAAAACCAUCACUGUAUCUUGGCCAAUCCCAUGCAAAACCAGUACAAAAUCAUUGUGUUCCAACAAGCUUCCAAUCCCAGUAGCUAUGCAGAACUUGAGCAAACUUGAAACUUCAACACAGAGCAUCACAAAUGCCUUGUGACUGCAGCGGAACCAGACUUUAUAAGUCUCAGAAAACUAGAGUCUUGAAGUUGAUGUUCGGUUUUGAUAUAAACCAUUGAGUAACAGAACGUGUACUCAUCCUUUCAUAACCCCAAAACCAGCUGAUAUCUCUGAAAUACCUUCAGCUUAUACCAAUCUUCCAUUAGUUUCUUCAGCAUUGACCAAGAACUCUCUUCUUGUAUCAUGUGCUUCUUGCUUCUAUCUCUGAUAAUUUUCUUCUGCUUGCAACACUCCAGCUUGUGAGUAUUCUGUCAUCCUUCUCUCAAUGUUGCAGCUUCAUGUAUCUUAGAGGCCUCUUGAUUUCAUAGCCCCUGAAAUCACCUCAACUGAUUCACACUUUCACCAUGAAUUACUCCUUAAGAUACAACUUCUUCACAUCUCAUCUUCACACCAUAACCUGAGCUAAACCGGUUUUAUAACCACUUGAGCUUCUCAAGAACCUUAUGUUACUCCACCUAAGAUCUAACUGGAUCCUUGAUUGAGUAGAGAUAACCUCUUACCAAAACUGUCUCUGUUUCUGAAACAGAAAACUGCAUUUUCAACAGAAAAAUCUGCAACUUCUUUGGUUCUUCUUGUUCUUCAAGAUGUGUGAAUGAGAUGCUUCCAUGUACACCAGAAUGAGCCUUAUAACUCCUUCCUCUCACGUGCUGUUCACCAAUAGACAGCUUGUCUUUCAGCCUGAGACAUUCAAGUCUCCAUACCUUCCUCAAAACCUGAGAAAUACCAUGAUGCUUCACCAAGAAAGAGUCUUAUGGCUUAUUCCUCUCUUUAGCAUCAUUUACCAAGAGCUACUGCUUUGUUGUUCCUCCUGAGACAUCACUUGUCUCUACAAAACCAGCUCUCCAAGAAAAGGACGUGGCUUCUUAACAGGAAAAGGAGCCUUGCUGCUCCAACUUUCCAAAGAUCCAACCUUUCUCACUUUUCUUCACUCUCCUCCUUUCUCUAGAUCUUCUCUCCUUUAGAUCUGAAUCUUCUUUCUCUCUUUCUUCUGGAUCUGAGACUUUCUCUCUUGAAAUCUCAGUGAUCUCCAAAGCUUCACUCAUGCUUAGAAUCUCCUCAUAACCCAUGAGUUUCUCCUUCCAUAAAACACAGCUUCCAUAACCUUCGAAGCUUCCACUUCUCUUCUUGACAAAAAACAUGAUUCUUGACUUGAGAACCAUAAAACACAGAACCAAGGCUCUGAUACCACUUUGUUAGGAUUCAGAGGCUUAAAGACAUCACUUUGUCUCAGCAUAAACCCACAACAAACCAAGAUAGAAGUUGCUGGAAGUCCAAAAUAGAGACUGCAUAAAACAGAGUUGUAGAGAGUAUGAAGAAGAGAAUAGAGAGAAGGAGAAGAUGGGAGCACACACACAAUUUAAGGAGUUCGCGCCCGUUAACGAGGGUCACUACAUCUCCCCGAGACUACAGCUCGGAAUCCACUAGAAGGUAUAACAUAGUUACAAAGAUACAAGUGAUUCACUCAUCAUAUCACUCAUGAACUCACUCUAAUGUAUCUUACUAUGCUCUAAUGAGAAAACCCAAAGCUAGGCUUAAGCUCACAUGUUUCUCUCACCCUUCUAAGCUCUUUGUGUGGCUCAAUCUCUCUCUCACGUUCUCAGCCUCCCUUUAUAGUGGAGACACCUUCAAACCUAAUGCACAAGAGGACAAAAUGGAGAGGCUCCUCCUUGUGGUCCCAAAAGUAACUUAACCCAUCUUCAACUCACCAUACUAACUUGAGUUAAGCCUUGGAUUACUUUUGAUCUUCAUUUGCUUGAUCAACAAGUGUUCUUAUCUUCACAAAUCUCCACCUAAGAACAUGUUGAUCAACCCAAACAACUUGCACAUACUUGAGAGAGAGAGUUUCUUCUUCUAGCUUCUUGGAUUCCAGUCUCGGCUUCUGAGUAUCACUACUCAUCCUUGAUCCUUAGCAGCUUCAAAGGUUUCAGAGGCUUAAAGACAUCACUUUGUCUCAGCAUAAACCCACAACAAACCAAGAUAGAAGUUGCUUGAAGUCCAAAAAUAGAAUGCUGUAAAAAACAUAGUUGUAGAGAGUAUGAAGAAGAGAAUAGAGAGAAGGAGAAGAUGGGAGCACACACACAAUUUAAGGAGUUCGCGCCCGUUAACGAGGGUCACUACAUCUCCCCGAGACUACAGCUCGGAAUCCACUAGAAGGUAUAACAUAGUUACAAAGAUACAAGUGAUUCACUCAUCAUAUCACUCAUGAACUCACUCUAAUGUAUCUUACUAUGCUCUAAUGAGAAAACCCAAAGCUAGGCUUAAGCUCACAUGUUUCUCUCACCCUUCUAAGUUCUUUGUGUGGCUCAAUCUCUCUCUCACGUUCUCAGCCUCCCUUUAUAGUAGAGACAUCUUUAAACCUAAUACACAAGAGGACAAAAUGGAGAGGCUCCUCCUUGUGGUCCCAAAAGUAACUUAACCCAUCUUCAACUCACCAUACUAACUUGAGUUAAGCCUUGGAUUACUUUUGAUCUUCAUUUGCUUGAUAAACAAGUGUUCUCAUCUUCACAAAUCUCCACCUGAGAACAUGUUGAUCAUCCCAAACAACUUGCACAUACUUGAGAGAGAGUUUCUUCUUCUAGCUUCUUGGAUUCCUGUCUCGGCUUCUCAGUAUCACUACUCAUCCUUGAUCCUUAGCAGCUUCAAACACCAUGAACCUGCUUGAUCCUUGCAGCAUUCAACAUCUUGUUCAAUGCACAUCAGCUGUGAAAAUUCACCUUGCCGAACCUGAGCCAUUAGAACAUCUUCAUGUCACUUGAGUUGUGAAAACCAGCUCUAACACAAAUCUAUAUUAGGCUCAACUCAUCAGUGACUUCUCCUGGCACAUGCAGCACCUGAAUAUCUGAUAUAAAGCUCAAUAAACUCCAGUACCAAGCUUAGAAAAC
rnacentral:lncRNA from 1 species